rnacentral:piRNA from 1 species
UGUUGUACUGAUUGAGGAGUUGGCUUA